rnacentral:rRNA from 1 species
GAUUAACGCUGGCGGCGUGCAUAACACAUGCAAGUCGAACGAUGAAACUUAACUGAUUUCUUCGGAAUGAUUUUAAGUGGAUUAGUGGCGGACGGGUGAGUAACGCGUGAGUAACCUGCCUUGGAGAAGGGGAUAGCCUUUGGAAACGAAGAAUAAUACCCUAUGAUAUGAUAAUAUCUCAUGAUAUUAUCAUCAAAGAUUUAUCGCUCUAAGAUGGACUUGCGUCUGAUUAGUUAGUUGGUGAGGUAACAGCUCACCAAGGCAGCGAUCAGUAGCCGGCUUGAGAGAGUGUACGGCCACAUUGGGACUGAGACACGGCCCAGACUCCUACGGGAGGCAGCAGUGGGGAAUUUUGCACAAUGGGGGAAACCCUGAUGCAGCGACGCCGCGUGAUUGAGAAGGCCUUCGGGUUGUAAAAAUCUUUUGUAUGGGAAGAAAAUGACAGUACCAUACGAAUAAGGACCGGCUAAUUACGUG